GUAUCAAUAUUGUAAUUCACAAUUACAUUCUAACUAUGGUAUAGUAUAGUUCAUAAUAAAGUAAUAAUACAAUUUUUGAAUUUUUCUAUUACGUAUAGCAAACUGUCAAACUCUAUUAUUAUUAUUCACGCGUUAUAUAUAUAUAUACAUAUAUUUUCUCCUUGGCACAAUUUUUUAAUGGCAUAGCUGAUACCAUCUAAAUCGGUCGUGCACUAUCUUGAACUUUUUUACUCGAUAACGAUACCGAUCUUUCAUCUAAUUGAAAGUUGUUUUAGAAGCAUAUAAUCCACAGUAACCUUUCUAAGCAUCAAACUAGAAAAUGGACGAAACACGACUGACAUAUAUAUAUUCACUUCAUUAUAGAAUUUAUUACUAAUUUCUUGGCAACGUCUGACUGAUGUAUUACCAGAAAUAUGUAUGAAGUCGCCAAGCAAAUGUAGCAGUAUCUCUUAAUAAAUUUCCAAAUUUAUUAUUGGCCGCAGAAACCAAAAGGUCUGCCUAUCUACUGGCAUUUUUAAAUGUCCAUUAAAAAUACACGAGUUUUCAUCGAGCGUUAAACAUUGUCAAAAUCCCUUCGAUACGUUACGAGAACUACGAUUCAUCCGUCGCGAGUACAACAGCCGCAUCGUCUUUAACGAUAACGGACGUCGAAUAAUAUGAACGAACGAAAGAAACGGUCCGCAAAUUAUCAUAGAAAUUUCAUCAGAAAGACAACUUCAAAGGCUGCUUAAUCUCUUUCGAUAUACACAGUGUACAAGAAGUAAGAGAGGAGAGAUUGGCCAAGGUGAAACAAGAAAACGACUCGAGCUGUUAUUCGUGCUGCCCGAAAGAGAGAGGAGGGAGAGAGGAGGUUGGACAAACCGAAAGGAGAAAAAAAGAAAAGUUAAAUUAAAAUCAAACCGGUAACUGUUGUCCGACGGAGAUCGGAUCGAUAUUAUCUCGAACACCCGGAUGCGAGGAUAUCUGGAUCGCGGAUGUUGUAUCUAGGUCCUCUUUGCCAUUUCUCCACGAUACAACCGAGCCACGUUUGUAAGAUGCUUUCAUCUCAAAAUAAUGCAUGCAAUCGUGACUAUCACAUCGCUGACUAAGGAGGAGCGCGCGUCGUAAUUACGAAUCGAGAUGGACGUGCUGUUUGCAAGCGCCACUUAAAAUUUCGCGUAUUAGUUUUAUCAGUGGACAGAGAGGGAGACACCCGUCCACGAGUGGACAGAUUUUAUCCGGCAAGAUCGUUACACACUGGGGACAGUAUAGAAAUGCAAGAGACGAAGGUGACCGCGACGGUUCAACGUGCUCUUGGAAUGUCCAACCUGCACGCGCAGAGAGAACGAUGAAGUAACCGAGCAUGGGUAACGAGUAACGAGUAUUGCGAGGAAGGAGAACGAAAAGAGGAAGAGGAACCUGCGAGAAGAACGAUGAAACGUGCAACAAAAAGGGAUACAAAAGAGAUCCUGCUGCUCGCGUGAAACACGUUUUCGUAUGAAACUUUCCUUCUAGCACCCUCUGUAGGAAAUGUGCGAAUCAAUCGUUCGAACAGUUACAGAGUAACGUCCAAAUAUUUCGGAUAAAAUUUCAAUUUAGGGACGCACCACGUUACAGAUCGAGAAUCGAUUGAGUAGUACAUGCACUCUGUUGCAAAAUUGUUGUAUCAUUACGACGUUACGUAAAAGGAAUUGUAGUCGAUAACGGACCAAAAUUGAAGUACUAUUAAGUAAGUGUUAACUGCUACAUCGAGAUGUAAUAUUUAAAAUGUUGUGGAAUAUUUACGUUCCGUUAUUUAUUACUUUAUAUUAUAAAUGUAUAAAAUGUCAAGAUACGGAUAAAAUGUCAUAAAUAAAAUUAAAUUCGUUGCA